rnacentral:rRNA from 1 species
UUGCUCCCUGAUGUUAGCGGCGGACGGGUGAGUAACACGUGGGUAACCUGCCUGUAAGACUGGGAUAACUCCGGGAAACCGGGGCUAAUACCGGAUGCUUGUUUGAACCGCAUGGUUCAAACAUAAAAGGUGGCUUCGGCUACCACUUACAGAUGGACCCGCGGCGCAUUAGCUAGUUGGUGAGGUAAUGGCUCACCAAGGCAACGAUGCGUAGCCGACCUGAGAGGGUGAUCGGCCACACUGGGACUGAGACACGGCCCAGACUCCUACGGGAGGCAGCAGUAGGGAAUCUUCCGCAAUGGACGAAAGUCUGACGGAGCAACGCCGCGUGAGUGAUGAAGGUUUUCGGAUCGUAAAGCUCUGUUGUUAGGGAAGAACAAGUACCGUUCGAAUAGGGCGGUACCUUGACGGUACCUAACCAGAAAGCCACGGCUAACUACGUGCCAGCAGCCGCGGUAAUACGUAGGUGGCAAGCGUUGUCCGGAAUUAUUGGGCGUAAAGGGCUCGCAGGCGGUUUCUUAAGUCUGAUGUGAAAGCCCCCGGCUCAACCGGGGAGGGUCAUUGGAAACUGGGGAACUUGAGUGCAGAAGAGGAGAGUGGAAUUCCACGUGUAGCGGUGAAAUGCGUAGAGAUGUGGAGGAACACCAGUGGCGAAGGCGACUCUCUGGUCUGUAACUGACGCUGAGGAGCGAAAGCGUGGGGAGCGAACAGGAUUAGAUACCCUGGUAGUCCACGCCGUAAACGAUGAGUGCUAAGUGUUAGGGGGUUUCCGCCCCUUAGUGCUGCAGCUAACGCAUUAAGCACUCCGCCUGGGGAGUACGGUCGCAAGACUGAAACUCAAGGAAUUGACGGGGGGCCCGCACAAGCGGCUGCAGCAUGUGGUUUAAUUCGAAGCAAC